UACGGAGGGUGCAAGCGUUAAUCGGAAUUACUGGGCGUAAAGCGUGCGCAGGCGGUUUGUUAAGUCCGUUGUGAAAGCCCCGAGCUCAACUUGGGAAUUGCAGUGGAUACUGGCAGGCUGGAGUACGGUAGAGGAAGGUGGAAUUCCCGGUGUAGCAGUGAAAUGCGUAGAUAUGUGGAGGAAUACCGAUGGCGAAGGCAGCCCCCUGGGCUAAGAUUGACGCUCAUGCACGAAAGCAUGGGGAUCAAACAGG
rnacentral:rRNA from 1 species